GAGGAGAUAGGUGUGGAGCUGGC
rnacentral:piRNA from 1 species